rnacentral:rRNA from 1 species
UACGUAGGGUGCGAGCGUUGUCCGGAAUUAUUGGGCGUAAAGAGCUUGUAGGCGGUCUGUCGCGUCUGCUGUGAAAUCCGGGCUCAACCCCGGACUUGCAGUGGGUACGGGCAGACUAGAGUGUGGUAGGGGAGACUGGAAUUCCUGGUGUAGCGGUGAAAUGCGCAGAUAUCAGGAGGAACACCGAUGGCGAAGGCAGGUCUCUGGCCACUACUGACGCUGAGAAGCGAAGCAUGGGAGCGAACAGG